ensembl:miRNA
GUUCCCUUCAACUUUAACAUGGGAGUGCUUUCUGUCUCUGUAAAAAGAGUAAGUGCUUCCAAGUUUUAGUAGAAGU